GAGGGGUUAGUGGGGCAACCAGGUGUUGGGACUCUCUCUACAGAGGGGUAGCACAUGGUCAUCACACUAGCCACAGGAGAGAUACUAAAUCACUUGACGCAAAUCCCCUGCUGCCUUGACUCUCACAAGCCACAGCCUCCGCCGAUCGUCCCGCAUCCAAACGACAUCUCUCCACUAAGGUCAGGCAGCUAAGCGGACAACUAUGUCUGAAGGGUAAGUGUGUG